AAUAAAAUGGCUGAGGUUAAUAGGCAAUAAAUUGUAAAUUUAUUAACGAGAGAAUUCUCUUUUAUUA
rnacentral:tRNA from 1 species